AUCAUCCUCCAUGCUAAUAAGGCAAAUGCGAGGAUAUCUUGCUAUUAAGUGAGUCCAGUGAACAAGGAACUUUAAGAACAACAGAAAUCAGUAAUUGGACUAACCAGGAAAAGGGGAGCUCUUUGAAGCUCCUAUCCAAAACAACUGAAAUAAAUAAUGAAGGCUGAAGAAGAAUAUUCAAAAUAAUGGGUAAUCACUAAACACUUCCCAAUUGGGAGGCCAAGCAAGAAAUAAGUCAGAAUAAGAUAACCAUGACUAGGACCAAACAACGACGACGACAAGAACAACAACAACAACAACAUAGAGGCACAAACACAAAACGGAACAGUGCACAUGGUAGGUGAUAUAAAUGUGCCAAAUAAAUGAAGAAAACAAUAAGCUGGAAAAAUCAAGUGUCAAGACAGAAGACUCCUUCUCUCUAAACUCUUCCAAGCUGCUGAAACAAACGUCUACGUUGUUUUUUUUAAGGUGGCUGCACCAAAUCCUAACAUCUCUACCUCACACUUCCUUCUCCUCCCUUCAGUUAAAGGAUGAUGGAAUCAAGCCAAGUGAGCCCAAACCCUGGAUCCAACAACUAUCAAGUAUGUGACUCUGGCUUGUGCUCAACUCUGUACCAGCAGAGAAUCCAGCGCUCAAAAUACUGCCACAUGGACCCACUUGGAAUACCCAAAUGCUGCCGCUGGGGUCUCACCCAUCCAUGACUUACAGAAACUGUCUGUUCUCUUUGUAGAACAAAGACCCUUUGUUCUCCUUGUUCUUUACACUUUACAUAUAAUGGGUCAUCUAAUUCUCAUGACAAUCUCACAAGGCAAAACCCAUUAUUAUCCUCAUCUUAUACAUGAGAAACAAAGGCCCAGAGAGGUUAAAGGUCUUAACCAAGGCCACACAGCUAGUAAGUGGCAGGGCCAGGAUAUGAACUCCAGCAAUCUGACUCCAGAGUCCACACUCGGCAAUCACUCUGGCCUCCUAGGAUUCCCCAAAGCCUCCUGUACCUAAUUCUAUAAUGGUACUUACUCCAAAGCAUUAAUAUCAUUGUUCUGCCUUCUACAAAACUCUUACCCUAACAACUAAGCAAAAGGCCUAACACAAAGAUUGCAGUGGGGCACCUGGGUGGCUCAGAUAAACAUCUGACUCUUGGUUUCAGCUCAGGUCACGAUUUCACGGU